GCACCAACCAUCGCCGAACAAAGCAACAAUUAUCCGACUAUGUAUGUAGGAAGGAACUGCAGGUGCUGGUUUAAACCGAAGAUAGACACUAAAAGCUGAAUGACACAACGGUGGGUGGAAUUGUGAACUGUGAGGAGGAUGACGGAGGAACACUAGGUGCAGGAGUAUGGCCGCGCCAUAUUCAAGAUGGCGCGGAAUAGGCUGAGAGCCCAAGCCUUUCGUCCUCCUCUGUCCAGCAUUCUUCUAGCGAACGUCCAGUCCCUGGAAAACAAGCGGGAUGACCUGCCUGACCGAAACAUGGCUGACCUCGCUGAUUCCGGAUCAGGUAAUAUGCCCAACUGAGUCCUUAACUGUCCAUCAUGCUGACAGAACAGAAGCAUCUGGGAAAUCCAAGGGUGGAGGAGUCGGCUUCAUGACCAAUAACAACUGGUGCAACCCUGCAAAUAUCAAGAUGCUUUCCCGUUCCUGCUCGCCGGACCUGGAGCACCUGACGAUCUCAUGCCACCCAUUUUACCUUCGCCGGGAGUUUGGCUCAGUGAUCGCCACAGCCGUCUACAUUCCACCGCAUGUGGACAUCGACGUGGCACUAUCAGCCCUACACGAUGUGCUAUGUCGACAUCAAAACAAGAACCUGGAUGCGGCUAUGGUGGUGGCUGGAGAUUUUAAUAAAUCAAAUCUCAAGAAGGUCAUGCUGAACUUCUACCAACACAUCACGUGUGCCACCAGGGGGAAAAGAACAUUGGGCCACUGCUAUACGCUGUUCUGGAAGGGCUACAAGGCCGUUUCAUUCCCUCCGUUAGGAAAAUCUGACCACGCUGCCAUUUUCCUGCUGCCGGGGUAUAAACAGAAGAUAGUUCGGGAAGCGGCAGCGACGAGGGACGUAAAGCGGUGGUCCGACUAGUCAGAGGCCAUGCUGUCACGGGUGAACACGAGGAAAGCUGUAGGGGCGUCUCGGAGCGAGUACUCAAGUCCUGUGCUACACAGCUAGCUCCGGUGCUCACUACAAUAAUCAACCUCUCCGUGGACAACUCCGUGGUCCCUGCCUGCUUCAAAAGAUCCAUCAUUGUACCUGUACCAAAAAAUGCCUCCCCAACUUGUCUGAAUGACUACCGUCCGGUGGCCCUCACCUCGGUAGUCACGAAAUGCUUUGAGAGGCUGGUCAAGAAACACAUCUGCGCCUUCCUCCCUCGCACCAUGGACCCGCUACAAUUCGCAUAGCGUCCAAACAGAUCCACGGACGAUGCGGUCUCCCAGGUUCUGCACACCGCUCUUUCAUCUUGACAGCCAGAAUGGGGGGCUAUGUGAGGAUGAUGUUCAUAGACUUCAGUUCAACCUUCAACCCCACCUGACUGGCCAAGAAGCUGCUGGAAUUGGGGCUCAACACCUCCCUGUGGGCAUGGAUCCUGGACUUUCUCACCAGGUAGUCAAGAUGGGAGGAAAUACAUCAGUCCCUCACCCUGAGCACAGGGUCCCCCCAUGGUUGCGUCCUCAGCCCCCUAACUGUACUCCUUAUACACGCAUGACUGUGUGGCUAGGUUCAACUCCAACUCUAUAAUCUGAAUCUAUAAUCAAGUUUGCUGAUGACACUGUGGUGGUGGGCCUGAUCUCCGAUAAUGAUGAGAAGACCUACCGGGAGGAGGUGGCUGAUCUGGCACUCUGGUGUCAGGACAACAGCCUCCUCUUGAAUAUCAAAAAAACUAAGGAGCUGAUCGUGGACUUUAGGAGGGCACAUCAUCCGAGGACGUACACACCAUUGAAGAUAAAUGGGGAUACUGUGGAUAGGGUGAGCUGUUUUAAAUACCUUGGAGUCCACAUCUCUGAGGAUAUGACAUGGACAUCACACGCUGAAGCACUGGUGAGUAAGGCAAGGCAGCGCCUUUACCACCUCAGGCAAUUGAGGAAAUUCAGAGUGUCUAUGAGGAUCCUCCAGUGCUUCCACUCAGCGGCGGUGGAAAGCAUCUUGUCCAGAAAUAUCACGAUUUGGUUUGGGAACUGCUCUGCUCAGGACAAGAAGGCCCUGCAGAGAGUAGUGCGUUCGGCCGAACGAACUAUGGGAACCACACUCGCCCCCCUGCCGGAACUAUACAUCAGAAGGUGCAACUCCAGAGCCAACAAGAUCAUGGGAGACCCCUUUCACCCCAGCAACGGACUGGUCCAGCUGCUAUGGUCAGGCAAACGCCUCCGUUGCCAUGCUGUGAAACGGACAGGAUGAGAAGGAGUUUCUUCCCAGAGGCCAUUAGGACUGUAAACUCCUAUCUCACCUGGGACUAACUUUACUGUACCAUUUUACUGUUGUGUGGUGUCUUUUUAAAAUUGCUGUUUUUUUCGUUUUUCCUCCCGCAAAUAUGUAAUACGUGAAUAUGUGAUUCUGUUCCAUUCUGUUUAUAGUUUGUUUGUUUUUUUGCACAAUCCGCGAGCAUUGCCACUUUUCAUUUCACUGCACAUCUCGUAUGUGUAUGUGACGAAUAAACUUGACUUGACUUGGAUAGGUUGGGUGAGUGGGCAGAUGCAUGGCAGAUGCAGUUUAAUGUGGAUAAAUGUGAGGUUAUCCACUUUGGAAGCAAAAACAGGAAGGAAGAUUAUUAUCUAAAAGGUGUCAAGUUGGGAAAAGGGGAAGUACAACGGGAUCUGGGGGUCCUUGUUCAUCAGCCAAUGAAAGUAAGCAUGGAGGUACAGCAGGCAGUGAAGAAAGCGAAUGGCAUGUUGGCCUUCAUAACAAGAGGAAUUGAGUAUAGCAAAGAGGUCCUUCUGCAGUUGUACAGGGCCCGAGUGAGACCACACCUGGAGUAUUGUGUGCAGUUUUAGUCCCCCAAUUUGAGGAAGGACAUUCUUGCUAUUGAGGGAGUGCAGCGUAGGUUCACAAGGUUAAUUUCCGGGAUGGCAGGACAGUCAAAUGCUGAGAGAAUAGAGCGGCAGGACUUGUAUACUCUGGAAUUUAGAAGGAUGAGAGGAUAUCUCAUUGAAACAUAUAAGAUUAUUAAGGGUUUGGACACGCUCGAGUCAGGAAACAUGUUCCCGGUGUUGGGGGAGUCCAGAACAAGGGGCCACAGUUUAAUAAUAAGGGGUAAGCCAUUUAGAACAGAGAUGAGGAAACAUUUUUCACAGAGCUGUGAGUCUGUGGAAUUCUCUCCCUCAUAGGGCGGUGGAGGCUGGUUCAAUGGAUACUUUCAAAAUAGAGCUGUAUAGGGCUCUUAAAGAUAAGGGAGAAGACAGGAACGGGGUACUGAUUGUGAAUGAUCAGCCAUGAUCACAUUGAACUGGCUCGAAGGGCCGAAUGGCCUACUCCUGCACCUAUUGUCUAUUGAGUCCACAUAUCUGGAGUUUCCCCAUUUAACCUCGAUCCAGAUUCGGCAGUGGAGUUUGUAUUCUGUCUUCACUCACAGUCACACAAAUCUGUACAUGGUCAAAAUAGUCUAUGUUUAAAUGUGUAAAUAAAAGGUACGUUCAUAUCAAGUAAAAUGUAUGUUUAUCGCCCAACGUGGGGCUCGAACCCACGACCCUGGGAUUAAGAGUCCCAUGCUCUACCGACUGAGCUAGCCGGGCACUGUGCAGCAAUACCGGAAGGCCUCCCCUGUAGCAAGCGGAAGGGCGCCAGAGUUGCUGACAAGUCUAACAUUUAUAGCCCAUUUCUAAUUGCCCUGAUCUUCGAAGAUCUUGAUUUGAUUCAAUUCAAUUCAAUUCAACUUUAAUGUCAUCGCACAAAUACAGGUAUGAGUACAACGAAAUGCAGUUUUGCGUCAGUUUAUGAUCUACUUUCUUGAGCUGCUGUGGCCCUUAUUCACGCCUUGUCCUUGCUUCCUACGCAGUUGUUAAAAAUGUUAAAAAAAACCUCUGUAUAUUUCUAUUAAUUUAAAAUUGCUCUAUAGGCUGCUCUAUCGUCCUGCCAACCAACUUUGUCCCCCAUUGCGGCAAUGAUUGCCACAAUUUUAUGACUACAAUGUGUUAGCAUUUAUCAUUGAACAUGCCUAGUUGAUCCUAUCAACGAUAUACGUUUCUGUAAAUUUUAUAUUCAGAACAAAUUUUAAGAGACUCAAUUUAGCAACAUUUUGUCACCAAACGUUAUAACAAACAUCUUCUGUUAUUUGUUGUGACGUUGGGCACAAAGACAAAUGUCGCUGAAUUGAGUCCUUUAAAUUAAUCACGGAAUUACGCAAUUUUCUGAACUCAAAAAUUCUCUUCAGAAUUGUAAAUUAUAAAUCCCCAUUAAUAACCUGUUAUUAAGUUAUUAUUGUUAUUAAGUAUGAGGAGAAAUCUGGGGGGAAAAAAUAUUCCCAAGAAAAUAGAUCAUCCGGCUUUGCCCUUCUUGAAUACUUCUGAGCGGCUGUACUUCCGUGCCUUCGAUAGCUCAGCUGGUAGAGCGGAGGACUGUAGGACGUACAGAGUUAUCCUUAGGUCGCUGGUUCGAUUCCGGCUCGAAGGACGUCGUUUUUUCUUGCAUUGCUUUUAAGUUUAUACGCAGGGUUUUUAAGUGAUUUUGUUCCUCUCUUUCUGUCUCGCGGUGCUUAUUUCACGCCCCGCUCAUUUACAAGGAUUAAAAUACUAUAGGCAAUGCUCCAAGCGUCUGAAAAGGCAGACUAAUUCACACAACACACAUAUAAGCGAGGAUUAGUUGUUUAAGAAAGAACUGCAGAUGUUGGAAAACGGUCGACAAAAAUACUGGAGAAACUCCAGCAGUGAAGGGUCUCGACCUGAAACAUGGUCUAUUCCUUCGCUUCAUAGAUGCUGCAGCACCCGCUGAGUUCCUCCAGCACUUGCGGCUAUAAUACGCGAUGAUUACAUGCAAUACAACGCAUAAAAAGGACUGC